CGAACGCUGGCGGCGCGUUUAAGCAUGCAAGUCGAGCGGCAAGGGCCUUCGGGCCCCUAGAGCGGCGGACGGGUGAGUAACACGUGGACAAUCUGCCCCCCGGCCCGGGAUAGCCCAGGGAAACCUGGAUUAAUACCGGAUGAGACGGGACCCGCGAUGGCGGGACCCGGGAAAGGCGCUGCGGCGCCGCCGGGGGAUGAGUCUGCGUCCCAUUAGCUAGACGGCGGGGUAACGGCCCACCGUGGCGACGAUGGGUAGCCGGCCUGAGAGGGUGGACGGCCACAUUGGAACUGAGACACGGUCCAGACUCCUACGGGAGGCAGCAGCUAAGAAUCUUCCGCAAUGGGCGAAAGCCUGACGGAGCCGACGCCGCGUGAACGAAGAAGGCCGUGAGGUUGUAAAGUUCUUUUCGGGAGGGGGAACAACCGUGGCAGGGAAUGGCCGCGGGAUGACGUGAAUCCCGGAAUAAGCCCCGGCUAACUACGUGCCAGCCGCUGC
rnacentral:rRNA from 1 species